GGCGCAAGCUCUGUCUGAAGAGGAGUUUCAACGGAUGCAGACACAGCUCCUGGAACUCCGGACAAAUAACUACCAGCUUUCAGAUGAACUCCGGAAGAAUGGUGUUGGUGAGCCAAGAGCGUCUCAUUAGAUGGGGUGGUUUUGGGGGGAAUAGAGGCCUGAUAAGAUGACCCUUCAGUUCCUUGUUACCGCCUGAGGCUCAGAUUCCCUGCUUUCCCUGCACCAGAACUUUCCAGUCUUCGACAGAAGGUCGCCUACCUGGAUAAGGAAUUCAGUAAAGCUCAAAAGCUCUGCAGCCAGCUGGAGCAGCUGGAGCUGGAGAACCGACAACUCAAGGAAGGGGUUCCUGGAGCAGCUGGACCACAUGUGGACGGGGAGCUGCUGAGGCUG
rnacentral:lncRNA from 1 species